rnacentral:lncRNA from 1 species
CACUCAAAAAAAAACACACGGGGUAGCUAAUGGAUUAGGGUUUACAUUCAUUUCAAAACAUUUCAUAUCCCACUGCUUUGCUUCCCUGCUCCUCUCUCUCUCUCUCUCUGGCGAUUCCAGAUCUAGAUCUAGGGUUUGUCUCCAAGGCGAUUUAAGAUCUAGCCUUUCUCAUUGACACCAGAUCGAGGAUCUUCAAGGUGGGUUUAUGGCAUCUUCAAGGUGAGUUUUGCCAUCACCAAUCUCCAAAGAAUCAAGCAAUCUGACCCAGGGUUCCAACUAAUGACGAAGGUCGACAAAUUAGAGUUUUGACUACCGAUCUACUUCUACAUGUAUGCUCUGCAGACUAUCAAGGGUUUUGAGGUUACAUGAUUAACAGAGGUGAAGAUGGAGUCACGAGUUAACAGAGGUGAAGAUGGAGUUGAAGGGGUUCUUCUACAUCACAGGACUUUCACACCUUUUGUUGGGCAUAAUUAGCCUUAUGGUCGAGUUUACUAUGAAGGAUUUUAAGAUUCCACGGAACCUGCAUUAAAGUUAGACUUCAUGCGACUUUUGAGCUGUUUGGUCCAUUCAACCAGUUUGAUUGGUUUACUCUUACCCAAAUUCAAAAUCAAGAUAGAACAUAACCCAAACUGACCCACUUGUAAAUAACAAUGGCAACCGGACUGGAAUCAAAACUUCGUUAUGCAUCAGUUCAUAUUCUGUCUGAUACCAUGGAAGGUCUGCAAGAAAACCGUCUGCUGCUGCUAUUGUUGGGGUUGCUCAUAGUUGUUAAAAGCCAUCGCCUCUUGCGCCUAGGCCCAUUUUUCAGGCGAGGCGAGGUAGUUGCGCCUUAAGUCGAGGAAAUUGCGCUUUAAUUCUCUAGGUGAUGCACAUUCCGGCGAGAUUCCUAGGCUUAAAAUUUAGAGCCUUCCGUUGAAAAGAAUCGUUUUGAAAGAAAUUGGGGGGCAUGAAGGCGUUUGACGGUUCCUUAAAACACGUCAUAUCGUUCCAUUUGAGUUUUUAGUAAUCAACAUUGACCAAGUAAUUUUGUAGCUGUUGGCUUUCUUUGUUACUGUGCAAUCUGGAGAUUGCUAAUGGGCUUCAGCCGUGGUUGGAUCAUCUCAUUUUUAAUAAUCUAGCAACUAAAUACUAAUGUCAUGGCAUUCAUUAGUGUUGUUUGUUACAUUUGUUUUUAACUGUUAUCAUUAAGUAGACAGUAGGCAAUACCAAUAUUGCUCAUGUCAUAGGACAAACCUAUGGUUUAGGACCAAUUUGACCGUUUGCUCUGUUAGAUUUAAAAAAGUUUUUGUGUUUUUAAACGGGUUUUCAAUUAAACUUUUUCUGUUUAUGCAUCAUUAUUUUUGGGAAAAUUACUUAAAUUAUAAGUUUUUUUUAGCUUCAGAAGUAACCUAGGUAGCGAUCUCAUUAGCAAUAGAUACUCUUAAUUUUCCAAAAAUCACACCAGCAAAUGAUGUUUACAAAAUUCUUUUAGCUCUUAUAAACAAUUAAUUUUAUCCAUAUCUCAAAUCAAAUAUGCAGAUGGCCUAAUAUAAGAUCAAAGUUGCUGAUUCUAUAUGGCAAAUUUUGCACAAAGCUUUUGUACCAACUUCAGUUAUCGCAAGGGAAAUAACCCUAAACUCAUCAACCUAAGUGAAUUUGGUUUUGGUUAUUGCUCAAAACCGAACCGCCCCGUAUAUAGCUCUAAACUCACCAACCUAAAUGAUAUGUUUCCCGCUGCAUCGCGCGGGUA